rnacentral:rRNA from 1 species
UACAGAGGCCUCGAGCGUUGCGCGGAAUCACUGGGCUUAAAGGGUGCGUAGGCGGACAUACAAGUGCCUUGUGAAAUCCCAGAGCUCAACUCUGGAACUGCUUGGUAGACUGUGUGUCUUGAGGUCGGUAGGGGUCGCUGGAACAGUUGGUGGAGCGGUGAAAUGCGUAGAUAUCAACUGGAACGCCAAAGGCGAAGGCAAGCGACUGGGCCGAUUCUGACGCUGAGGCACGAAAGCGUGGGGAGCAAAC